ensembl:lncRNA
GGGGAACAAAAAGGGGAAGGCAUCGACACAAAACGGGCUCGGCAAAAAACCUCUCGGAUCCUGGAAACGCGUCCUGGGACGGAGCUGGAGCACUGCUGCUGGGGCUUUGGGUGGCUGAUGGAGCUCUCCAGGCGUGCGGAGAAAGGCUGGGGACGCUUUGUCUGGAGAUGGAGUACAAUGAUCCUCAAGAUGGAGAGAGCUCUGCCAAUGCAAGAGCAUCCUGAAUGCCAACCUUGGGAAGUCUGUUGAGGGAACACUGGGGAAGCAAAUGCAGCCUGGCUCCACUCUAGGAGAAAGACAAUGAGAAGGGGAAGAAGCAUAUGAAUGUAGAAGACUGACUCCCACCUUGCACUAUGCUGCAUGCUAGGCAGGACCACACAUCACCUCCUUUUCACCUGAGUCAAUGGGUGCCACUUGCGGACAGGAACUAGGAGAUAGAUAGGAAGUGGGGAUGAGAACCUGUGAAGAGAUACCCUCUCAACCGAGCCCUGGUAUAGACAUCCCAUGCUGGAUGGUGCAGACAAGAGGAUGGACUGACAAGGGGAGACAGGAGUCAGGUCUUACAACUACAAAGAUCAGCAGUUGUGGUCCCAGCACCAGAGUCCCCUUACAGGACAAGGGUGAGUUUUGGUCCCAGCACCAGAGUCCCCUUACAGGACAAGGGUGAGUUUUGGUAGGGACAGCCAUGGCAUAGAAGGUCUUAGCCUGGACUCUGUCCCCCUGCAGCCCUACAGGCAGGAAAGUUGUCCUGCCUGUAAUGCCAACCCAGUGCGGAAGCAAGCCUUGACCCACUCUGGAUGCCCUUGAUGGUUACUCCCAAGGAACAAAUGUCUCAGCUGAACAUCUUGUGGCUGCUAUGGUUUCCAGAGUAGGUUCCAAAAAAAAAAACAGGGACUUGCUUGAAGAGUGCCAGCCUGCACCGAAGUGGGUUGAUUGUCGUGUGGGUCCCAAGGCUGCCCUAUGAACAGGUAGAGCCACAGCUAAAAGACUUUCCCUCCUCCCUGCUGAAAAUGUACUCACAUGUAUUUCUCCUCUCACUUUUUCUCCAUACCCAAACGGCAUUCACGCAAGGAGGGUGAGCUGGGGAAAACAGCAUCAAUUAAACAUCUACUUCUCUGUGAGGAACACUUCAUGUGACAGUGGCAGCCACCUCACCACCCAGCCCUGACAGUCACAACACUGGGGUGGUGACAGGGAGAGACUGCAAGAGCAGAGGGUCUCCUAGACAUGACAAACUUGCCAUGCUCUUCUCAACAAGUAUGCAGAAAAUCAGCAUGAGAUAAGGCAUACAGAACAGUUUCUUUCCCUUCUUUCUUUUUUUUUUUUUUGUCCGAGCAAUACAUAUCUGCAAAAGAUAGACUCAAAAGUCCCAGUAUUCAGAACUUCUGCUAUGCAGUCGAUCCAGCUGAAAAGCGAACAAACAAACAAACAAAAAAAGAAAAAAGAAAAAAGAAAAAAGAGAGAGAGAGAGAGAAACCUUUCUGAAAUCACACUUAGUAAUUUUCCAGCAGAUCUACAAAAGGAAGCUUUUAUUCUUUUGGUUGUGCAUGUCUCCUCAGAAAGCAAAAGGCCUCAUCUGAUACCGAAACAGGUCACGCUGGUUAUUUAAAUUUUGGUUGUGAGAACACUUGCUCAUGUGUCCUUCCCUGCUCAAGGAAUGGUCUUAGCUUAAUGAAGCCACUAACUUCGCUCUAUAGAGCUAAGUGUUUUCUUUUAAUUUCUCCUUCGCUCUUGGAAGACCACUCAUGCUCAACACUGCACAUGUGCAAACAUGUAGAGACAAACAUUUUCUUUUCUCUCCUCCCCCGCACCAGCAUCUUCUGCCCAUAUGGGACAGAUAAUCCCUUUUCAUAUCAGCUCAUCUUCUUCUUUCAACACAGUUUCCUUGACAUCCCAAAUUACAACCAAAUGGAGGAACGGAGGAAUGAGCCUGAAAUCAAUUUCAGAUCACUCAAAAGAAAUAGAUUUAUAGCAAAGAUAAAUCAGCAAAACCUUUGAGGGUAGAUCCCUGAAUUCUUGCCGCAAUCCCUGACAUAUUUAGUACCUGUUGAUAGAGGCUAAGACAGCACCUAGUCACUGAUGCAAGGGGCUGGGACACGCGCAGAGGUCAUCUUCCCCAUGGGUGGUGGUGGGAUGAGCAUCCCUUGCAAUGGAAGGGUUUGGGUCAAGAGUGUCUGUAGGAGCAUCCCCAAUGAGGCAUGGAGCAUCAUCCUGUGUGUCCCACGUGGGACAGGUGGGAUAAGGGAGGUCCAACACUUGUGGCUGCUUUUAAACACAGGUAAAGGAUGCCCUGAGCACCCCAGCUGGAUUUUUAGCCCCACGUGGUUAACAAGAGCUUCUUAAGAGUUAUCUAGGAGAUAAUCCAGAAAUUCCCUAACUGUGAGGAACUAUAAGAAACAAUGCAAUCGCUAGUAGCAUUCUGGGGUGCAUUAAAAAUAUUAUAGCCAGCAUGUUUGAUGGAGACUGUCUUCGCCUUCUACUUGCCCUCGUAAGGCCACAUCUGGAGUACCUUGUCCAGUUCUGGGUUCUUCAGUUCAAGAAAGACAUGGAACUUCUAGAGAGAGCCCAGUGGAGGGCCACAAAUAUGAUGAGCCCAGAGCAUCUCCCUUAUGAGGAAAGGCUGAGAGACCUGGGACUAUUCAGCAUGGAGAAGACUGCUUAUAAA